rnacentral:rRNA from 1 species
GACGAACGCUGGCGGCGUGCUUAACACAUGCAAGUCGAACGGAAAGGCCCUGCUUUUGUGGGGUGCUCGAGUGGCGAACGGGUGAGUAACACGUGAGUAACCUGCCCUUGACUUUGGGAUAACUUCAGGAAACUGGGGCUAAUACCGGAUAGGAGCUCCUGCUGCAUGGUGGGGUUUGGAAAGUUUCGGCGGUUGGGGAGGGACUCGCGGCUUAUCAGCUUGUUGGUGGGGUAGUGGCUUACCAAGGCUUUGACGGGUAGCCGGCCUGAGAGGGUGACCGGCCACAUUGGGACUGAGAUACGGCCCAGACUCCUACGGGAGGCAGCAGUGGGGAAUAUUGCACAAUGGGCGGAAGCCUGAUGCAGCAACGCCGCGUGCGGGAUGACGGCCUUCGGGUUGUAAACCGCUUUCGCCUGUGACGAAGCGUGAGUGACGGUAAUGGGUAAAGAAGCACCGGCUAACUACGUG